CAUCAGCACAUAAUGAAACAUGUGGCUGCUUGUUCUUCCCGAUCUCAGCCGGAUCUAUAUCGAUGUGCACAAUCUUUGCCCUGCUAGCAAAAGCUUCAAGCUUUCCAGUCACACGAUCGUCGAACCUGACGCCAAGUGCGAGCAAGAGGUCAGCUUUAUCGACCGAAUAGUUGGCAUAGACAGUCCCGUGCAUUCCCAACAUCUUCAACGAUAGCUCCGCAUCGGUGGGAUAGACCCCGAGACCCAUCAGGGUACUCGCGAUGGGGAUGCCAGUAAGGUCCGCAAACCGGCGAAGCUCCUCGCUGGAGUUCAAGCAGCCGCCACCAACAUAGAGAACCGGGCGAUGGGAUUCGGACACAAGGCGGAUGAUUUGGUCAAGCAGACAGCGUGAAGGAGGCUUAGGGAGGCGGGAGAUGUAUCCGGGAAGGCGUAGCGGCGGGUCCCAAACAGGGAUGGCAAGCUGCUGCUGAAUGUCCUUGGGGAUGUCGACCAGCACCGGGCCAGGGCGGCCAGUGCUGGCGAGAAAGAAGGCUUCUUUAAUGAUGCGGGGAAUGUCAUCGACGUUAAGGACCAGGUAGUUGUGUUUGGUGAUGGAUCUGGUGACCUCGACAAUGGGGGUCUCCUGGAAGGCGUCCGUGCCGAUCAUGCGGCGGGGAACCUGGCCGGUGAUGGCGACGAGGGGGACGGAGUCGAGGAGCGCGUCCGCGAAGCCGGAGACGAGGUUGGUAGCGCCGGGGCCGGAGGUGGCUAUGCACACGCCCGGGCGGCCGGUGGAGCGGGCGUAGCCGGAGGCGGCGAAGAUCUCGCCCUGCUCGUGGCGGAGGAGGUGAUUGGUGAUGGAUGGGGAGCGGGUGAGGGCCUGGUGGAUCUCCAUGGAGGCGCCUCCAGGGUAGGCGAACAGAUCGGUGACGCCCUCCCGCUCGAGGGCCUCGACAAGGAUGUCAGAGCCCUUGCGGGGUUCGUCGGGGGCAAAGUUACGGAGGAGGGGGACAGCGGUGGUAGCG
rnacentral:lncRNA from 1 species